AGAGUUUGAUCAUGGCUCAGAACGAACGCUGGCGGCAUGCCUAACACAUGCAAGUCGAACGAGACCUUCGGGUCUAGUGGCGCACGGGUGCGUAACGCGUGGGAAUCUGCCCUUGGGUUCGGAAUAACAGUUAGAAAUGACUGCUAAUACCGGAUGAUGACUUCGGUCCAAAGAUUUAUCGCCCAGGGAUGAGCCCGCGUAGGAUUAGCUUGUUGGUGAGGUAAAAGCUCACCAAGGCGACGAUCCUUAGCUGGUCUGAGAGGAUGAUCAGCCACACUGGGACUGAGACACGGCCCAGACUCCUACGGGAGGCAGC
rnacentral:rRNA from 1 species